rnacentral:tRNA from 1 species
GGGGUUGUGGCUCGGUGGUAGAGCACUUGCCUAGCAUGUAUGAGGCACUGGGUUCAAUCCUCACCACCACA